AGCUUUGUGCAGUGGCAAUAUCAUAGCCAAUGAGGUUUAUCUGACGUGCAAUUAUUGCUAACUGAAAAGUUGGGGUUGCUUCCCUUUGAUAAUGAUAAAAAAUUUAAAGAAUUACAGAGGGUG
rnacentral:snRNA from 1 species